ACUCAGAUAUUUUUAUAUAGACACUUCAGUCUGUUACCACAUAUUACUGUGAGUAGUCUCUGAGAGUAUUACAUAGUUUGUGGAACAAAGAGAGGCUGAAAAUGUGUGCAGCCUGACUCAUUCCCUCAGGAAACCAUGCUUGAGUGUCCAAAGACCCACAAAAUAGGUACCGGACAUGCUUUCAAAAAUCUAUAGGCUGAAGCACAGUGUGCAGUGCAUAGUACUGCUCUGCUGCAAGGAAACAUAAAACAUGAAUCCUUACUUUCAGCCAGAAACCCUGGAACCUCUGGGAGAUCACAGUCCAAAUCAAAAAUCAAAAUACUUCCCCAGUGCAACUACAAAUUGAAAGGAAACCCUUGUACUGUUCUGGCAAAGAUACAGAUGGAAGAUGGCUUUGAAAUGCUGAAAAGAUUCAGAUGGUGAUCAACUUGAUGACUUUUCUUAGGUAAUUGUCAAGCUGAAGUAUCCUCUUUUUUACUCUUUGCAUGCAAUGGAGUGGAUUCCAUGACUGAUGUCAUUGUUUUAAUAUGUAUGAAAGAGUCUUUCACUUCCAGAAAUAAGCAUAAACAGAAAGCCAAACAUCCUACAGAUAGGCAAAAUCAUCUGAAGGAUUUUAUUAUGUGCUCUUCAUAUAACAGUGGCCUCUGAACCCUGCCCUCUGAAGCUUCCAUUUUUACAGCCUCAGCCACUGCUGCACACGCUGUGCUCUGUGGAAUGAAGCAAAACACAGGCCAGAAGGGAAAAAAAGUUCUCCUUCUUGCAGCUUUCUUUGUUCCCUCAAGCACAAGGGCACUUAUAUCCACAUAUGGACACACCACUCCUACCACCCAAGCUCAGGUCAAAUUGAAAUGGAAAAAUUUAAAUUUUUGCAGUCAGUUGUGAAAGGUACUUGCAUCUGAGGGGAUGGUAGAAGCAAGCUGGAGUGAGGAGCUGCCACUGGAAGACUGUGCUGCUUCACCCUGGAGCUUUUACGGAGUGGCAGAGCAAGCUCACACCAAGCACAGACACCCUGCACUGCUCAUUCAGACCAGAGCCGGGAAAAUGAGCUAGCAAAUGUUGCUCAUGACUAUUCACACACUUUUUAAAAGGAAGGAGUUUAUCUAUGUCAACAUCUCAUUUAUGUCUGCAUGCUGCGAAAGUGUAAUCACAAACAAUACCAUAUGCACACAUUUUACAGUAAAUUUUAAAUUAGAACAAUGGCAGAUAUUAAAAACACAAAUCCACACAUCUCCUUUCCUGACAUUUUCUGGUUUAAAAGACAAAAAACUAAGAAGCAAAGACUCUGCCCAGGGUAUCUUAGCUGGGCUUUCUACACUUGCCAAAUGGUCUGAAGAUCUCGUAUGAAUGUUGCUAACUCUACUAAUCACCUGGAAAGAGCAAGAAUUUUUGAAAGAGCAAGCUUGUUUGAAGACAUAUUUCCAAUUUUAGCUAUAACUGGAGGUGCUAUACCUGCCAGAUAUCAGAGAAAUGUAGAGUUUUCUGAAACUCAGAAAUGAUCCAGCUUAAUUCUAGAUUAGAGAUCAGCAUAAAUUCUUUUAUCUUAUGUCACCAUACGUAUUUUAUUAUGUGACCAUAUUAUAUUUAAUAAACAUAUCUCUGAUAAAGGGUGUGAAUUUACAGUGCAGUUGGCUUGUUCCUCAUAGAAAUUUCUACUGAAGAUUUCCAGCACUAUGAGAAAGGCUGGUCUACACAAGAAACUGAAAUCUGACAUUAUAGAAACAGUCACUAAAAUAUCUAAGACUAUCUUCCUGUCCUUUCUGCCUCAUACAGCUCUUGGAGUUCUGAGAAGUUUUAGGAAAGCAGCAAAUGUGGCCUCAUUCAAAAUGAUAUAAUCUGGCCUUACCACAGCUGCUUGACCUUACUUUAAAUCCUUACUCUCAGGACUAUAGACUGUGAUUCCUAUUUUAAGACAUAUCUCUUCUAUGGCCUGUAACUGGAAUUGGCUCUGUAGUUCAUGUUUGCUGUCAGUCAAAUAAAUGUUUUUGAUUUUUCAUAACAAGCUGUAAGUGUCUGCAAAUUUUAAAGGAGAUUGAGAGAAAGAAGUUAUCUCAACAAGCAAACUCCUAUAUAUUCCAAGGUUACUGUUGUAUAAUUAAUGGAAUUACCAAAUGGGGCUGAAAGUAUAGAGUUUGCAAACGGCUAAUAACAAGGAUUAGGUAUGCACUCUGUUUUUCAUGCAUGUUCUUCCAGUUUCUUGUGAGCCUAAUUGAAGUCAGAAGGGUCUUUCCACAUGGCAUGUUUUUGCUACUCUGAUCAGUGGCAAACAGUUCUUGUACCCUAUGGAAAAAACUCUAAUCAUGUAUUUCUAGGAAAAACAAAACAAAACAGAAAAACAAAACACACAAACAAAAGCCCUCACUGAAACCCCUCUUCUUUUUGAAACUCCUCUUCUUCUUUUGGAUCUAAAAUGUAGUAAGAUACAUUACAUUAGAAAACUGGAAAAAGUGUUUUCAGAUGUGGUAAAUGACUGUCUUUUUUUUAUUAUUAUUAUUUUCCCCUCCUUCCUGAGAUUGCAUUCACUAAGGUUUUAUUAAUGGAAUCAGCCACAUAUUGCAAAAACCUGUUAAAGACAUAAAGCUUGCUUCAAAAAUCUGUAAAACAAUGGAAUGUAGACAAAUGGUGGAAAAUACUUUUAAGUGAAUCCUUCUGGUGUUAAAUUAUGGUGAUACCAAAAUCCCCUUUAGCAAAUAGGUCAAAAUAGAGCUGCUAAAAGCAAGGAGGUAAUUGUCUGAAACACUAUCAAAAUGAUUUUGGAUUAAUCACUUUCGUGCCUGCAGUAAAGUUUAUUUGUGUACCAUGCUUAGAAAAGGGAGAAGCCUGAAUAUCUCUAAUCUCCUCCUAACCUACAGUAAAUAGCAAAGUAUUAGCUCUCUGUGCAUCUCCAAGUCCUGUCUUUAAUUAUACCUUUCCUAUGUUUACAUGAACUUUGGUUUGCUUUUCAAAAGCCUCAUGGAACAAUUCCUGCAGCUGACCUGUGUGUAGUGCUGAAUUUCUCCAUAAAGUGAGUAUUGAUGAGCUGAAAAGUUCAGUGAACAGGAAAAUUCUGCUGCUUUUAUUGCCAGUGUGACAGGUUACUUUAUUACCAUGCCUUUCACAGCAAUUUAACAGUUACCCUGGCAACGGAUUCAGUGAGGUAAUGGGAUCAGAGGCAUUAGAGGAGAGGAAAGGCUAGCGACGAGAGAAAACCAUCUGCUGGCUUAUGUUCUCGGGGCUGUUUGCUCAGUGCGAGCUCCUGACAAUCAUUGUACUUGGAUGUAAAUGAGGCAGGUUAAACCACAGGCCUGCCCUAUUUAGCCGUACUCUGGUGAUUUGUCUUUCUAAUUUUAUUGAAAUAAUAAUCAGGAUUUGUUUCUGAUUAAUUAACUAACCUUUUGGUAAAAAGAUUAGAUAACGAAAUUGCUGCCUAUUCAGAGAUAAUGAGAUUUUUAUUACUCUGUCAAAAAAAAAAAAAAAAAAGUACAUUUAUGUGUCACCAGCCACUAUGUCAAGGGAGGAAAAUAAAGAUUUAAAUCUUUAUGUCAGACAUUUAUUUCCUCCACAGAUUAAGUGUGUAUUUAAUUCUAUGGAUGAACAUCAUCUUGUUUAAAACAUUUCAGAAGAGCUUUUAAAACACCAAAUAAAGUAAUAAACACAUUUAAACCAUGAUGCACUUUGUAUUAAUUUGUUUCAAAAAUUGUCUCCUAAUGGAAGAGAAACACUUGAUGAUUCAGAAAUCCACCUGUACUGUGUGGGUGUAUUUACAUAAGUGCAAGAGUGUGAAGAAAGCAGUAAAAUCUCCUCGUGAGCACUUUAGAGUGACAUAUGUAAAUAGGCUGCUAUUAUAUCUUGCAGAACAGACAUGCCUGACACAGUAGUUGUAGAAAAUUCAUUUAUGUGUCAGAGCUCUGCCUAGAUGCAUGAAAUACCACACAGGCCACUGGAGGCUGAUAUAAUUAAAUAAUGAAAGAUAACAAAACAUUGCAUUUAGAAUCUUCUCACGAAAGGCUCCUGAGGAAGAGGCAGCUGCAGCCUUCAAGGAGAGACCCAGCCCUGCACAGAGGUGACUGUGGGACUCCAGGCUGCCCUACACCUCACCACAGUUAACCCUGCCAAUACACCAGCAGACCAAAAAUGCAAGAAAACUUGCUCCUGGAACAAUGGAACUGCACAGCCAUAGAACAUGUUCAUUCCAGAGCCACCAGUGGUGUCUUGUGUUGGGCAACAUGGUGUUGUAAAUGCAAAUGUAUGGAUAGAUACUGUCAGUGGACAGCACUGUUUGUACCAGGCAUGGCUUGCCCAUCUCAAGGAGAUGGGCAUGCCGUGUGCACUUUGUCAAGUCACUAAUUAUGACCUGUUAAUUAAUAAAUCUCUAAAAUGAACUGUGUUGAGAACAUUCUCAGUCAUGAAAAUGAAACAAGAAGAAACACAGGACAGGACAGAAUAUUUUGUUGGCAUGGCGUUAAUGCAUGCACUUUCAGAUUUGAGGUGACACUUACACUGGUGGCAUUCAGCGUGCUUCAUUACUUUUACCAUUACACAUUAACAUGAAAAGCUCUCAAACACCGAAAGUCUCUGCUUCUCUCCAGCAGUGUACAUAGCUGAAAGCCAGCCAGAUGCUCGACCCACUUAGAGAAAACGUCUUCAGUAAAGAGAUCGGAUGUUGAGCCUGUUUCCUGCCCGUCCCCCAUCUCACAGCUGCCCCUCCACACUGCCAGUAUCCCUCCCUCCCUGCGUGUGCUGUCUAGUAUCACAGCCCUGACAAAGAAUGCAAACAAGAUGGCUUUCUUCUACCAACAGAAAACUGUUUCCCUCCCCCUGCUCUCCUAAAAUUCUUACUAAAAGCUUCUGACCCUUGAUAACCAAAAUCCCUUGAAAAGGAAGCAAGCACUUUUGGCUUAGCACCAGAUAAAUAGCUUUUGCUCUCCCUCUCUCUUUCCUCUUUCCCCAUAUAAAAUCCAGGUUUAAUAUUAGUAAUUAUUAUUAAAAUCAGGAAAAUGUUAUAAAAGAAUCUCAGCAAAGGAGAGUAAGUAUAGUUUUCCUUUUUCCAGACGAUGACAUCUGCAGCUCUACAUUUUCAUGAAAUGACUAUACUUAACAAAAACAUUACUUCAUUUUCAUGGUAUUUCUUUUGUGCCUAGGAGCAACCCUGUAAUUGUUCACUUCAAUUACAACAUUACUAUUUUAAACUGAAACCCAUUUUAUCUGCAUGCCAGCUUUUUAUUUGUUUUACCAACUAUAUCUAUUUCCAUUACUGAAAGGCUGAUGGUUUGUCUCAAGAGGAAAUCAAAUCCAUUAAUUCAGAAAUUUCAAGCACGGCUGCCUCUGCCAUAAGCAGCAUUUCUUAUGCUAAUAGCAAAUGUGCUGAGACUGAAAAGAACUGACAUAGUUCUGUUUUUUAUCAUAACUUAAGCAUUUAUGUAAAAAGGCAAAUCUAAUAUUACUAGGAAACUUGUAAGUGUUAUCAUAUAUAAUUCACUUUACUAAGAUCUGCAUAGGGCCCUGGUUAUUGCAACUGUGGUUUAAAUCAUGUUGUUUGUGGUUUUACCUUGCUUGACAUUUGGGGUCUGAUUUUGAUCUUGGUUACCUCAAUGUAAAUCUGUCAUUGUUCAUCUGACAACAAUAAAAUUAUUCCAGAUUUACCCCAGGCAAAGAGGGAUCAGGACAUGUUCAUUGUGCUCGAGGUAUAAUACCAUCUCAUCAUCACAACAGACUAAACUGACUUUGAAGUGUGUGUGUGUGUGUUUGCACAGAAAAUGUAUUACAGAAGUUGGAUUUUUUUAUUUUUUAUGUUUUUCUCCAGCCAUGAAAAUAGCCACCCAAAGGCAAUUUAGGAAUUUCCAGGAAGUUGCACCCACCCAGCACCAAAAAGAAUAAACAUACUCCACCACCACCACUGCCUCCUCAUUUAAUGCACUUAGUUCUGUUGUAUCACAUGGGCUGUGUUCAAUUAGAUAGCUUAACAAGAUAAACUCUGAAUUUGACCCAGAAAAAAAACAAACCAGACUGAUGCAGAGUUCUAUGUAAAUUUUUCCAGGCACUGUGACCUCCUUAUGUCAAUGAAAGAGAUCCUUAUCAUAAAGGCUAAAAAAGUU